AUUGAACGCUGGCGGCAGGCCUAACACAUGCAAGUCGAGCGGAUGAAGGGAGCUUUCUCCUGGAUUCAGCGGCGGACGGGUGAGUAAUGCCUAGGAAUCUGCCUGGUAGUGGGGGAUAACGUACGGAAACGGGCGCUAAGACCGCAUACGUCCUGAGGGAGAAAGUGGGGGAUCUUCGGACCUCACGCUAUCAGAUGAGACUAAGUCGUAUUAGCUAGUUGGUGUGGUAAAGGCCUACCAAGGCGACGAUCCGUAACUGGUCUGAGAGGAUGAUCAGUCACACUGGAACUGAGACACGGUCCAGACUCCUACGGGAGGCAGCAGUGGGGAAUCUUGGACAAUGGGCGAAAGCCUGAUCCAGCCAUGCCGCGUGUGUGAAGAAGGUCUUCGGAUUGUAAAGCACUUUAAGUUGGGAGGAAGGGCAGUAAGUUAAUCCCUUCCUGUUUUGACGUUACCAACAGAAUAAGCCCCGGCUAACUUCGUG
rnacentral:rRNA from 1 species